rnacentral:rRNA from 1 species
GAUGAACGCUGGCGGCGUGCCUAAUACAUGCGAGUCGAGCGAACGGACGAGAAGCUUGCUUCUCUGAUGUUAGCGGCGGACGGGUGAGUAACACGUGGAUAACCUACCUAUAAGACUGGGAUAACUUCGGGAAACCGGAACUAAUACCGGAUAAUAUUUUGAACCGCAUGGUUCAAAAGUGAAAGACGGUCUUGCUGUCACUUAUAGAUGGAUCCGCGCUGCAUUAGCUAGUUGGUAAGGUAACGGCUUACCAAGGCAACGAUGCAUAGCCGACCUGAGAGGGUGAUCGGCCACACUGGAACUGAGACACGGUCCAGACUCCUACGGGAGGCAGCAGUAGGGAAUCUUCCGCAAUGGGCGAAAGCCUGACGGAGCAACGCCGCGUGAGUGAUGAAGGUCUUCGGAUCGUAAAACUCUGUUAUUAGGGAAGAACAUAUGUGUAAGUAACUGUGCACAUCUUGACGGUACCUAAUCAGAAAGCCACGGCUAACUACGUG